rnacentral:rRNA from 1 species
GGGAACUCCAGGGANACUGCCGGUGAUAAACNGGAGGAAGGUGGGGACGACGUCAAGUCAUCAUGGCCCUUACGAGUAGGGNUACACUCGNGNNGAAAAUGGCGUAUACAGAGGGCAGCGAUNCCGCGAGGUGGAGCGAAUCUCACAAAGUACGUNGUAGUCCG